GCCCGCGUGGCACAAUGGCUAGCGCGUGGUAGGGACUGCCCCAAACUCCUCGUUCCGGACACUACUAACAUUAUUCCAGAGACUUUUAUAGAGCCAUCUUCUCUGAAAUCUCAAGGUUCUGGGUUCGACCCCCAGCGUGGGCG